rnacentral:rRNA from 1 species
CUACGGGCGGCUCCAGUGGGGAAUAUUGGGCAAUGGGGGAAACCCUGACCCAGCAACGCCGCGUGAAGGAUGAAGGCUUUCGGGUUGUAAACUUCUUUGAUCGGGGAAGAACCAAGACGGUACCCGAGGAACAAGCCACGGCUAACUACGUGCCAGCAGCCGCGGUAAUACGUAGGUGGCAAGCGUUGUCCGGAAUUACUGAGUGUAAAGGGCGCGUAGGCGGGAAGGCAAGUCAGAAGUGAAAUCCCGGGGCUCAACCCCGGAACUGCUUCUGAAACUGUUUUUCUUGAGUGUCGGAGAGGAAAGUGGAAUUCCCAGUGUAGCGGUGAAAUGCGUGGAGAUUGGGAGGAACACCAGUGGCGAAGGCGGCUUUCUGGACGAUAACUGACGCUGAGGCGCGAAAGCGUGGGGAGCAAACAGGAUUAGAUACCCCUGUAGUC